GCCACAUGAUGUUACGUAGAUUGCAUUAGCACUCAGUGCAAAGAUGACCUGCUAUCUAUCACCCUUGACUGAUGGCU
ensembl:snoRNA SNORD83 Small nucleolar RNA SNORD83